rnacentral:snRNA from 1 species
GUCUUCACUUCAGAAGCACAUAUACUAAAAUUGGAACAAUACAGAGAAUAUUAUCAUGGCCCUUUCACAAGAAUAACAUACAAAUUUGUAAACUGUUCUAUAUUUUU